AUUGAACGCUGGCGGCAGGCUUAACACAUGCAAGUCGAGCGGGGAGAUGUAGCUUGCUACAUUUCCUAGCGGCGGACGGGUGAGUAAUGCUUAGGAAUCUGCCUAUUAGUGGGGGACAACAUUCCGAAAGGAAUGCUAAUACCGCAUACGCCCUACGGGGAAAAGCAGGGGAUGUUCGGACCUUGCGCUAAUAGAUGAGCCUAAGUCAGAUUAGCUAGUUGGUGGGGUAAAGGCCUACCAAGGCGACGAUCUGUAGCGGGUCUGAGAGGAUGAUCCGCCACACUGGGACUGAGACACGGCCCAGACUCCUACGGGAGGCAGCAGUGGGGAAUAUUGGACAAUGGGCGCAAGCCUGAUCCAGCCAUGCCGCGUGUGUGAAGAAGGCCUUUUGGUUGUAAAGCACUUUAAGCGAGGAGGAGGCUACCUGGAUUAAUACUCUAGGAUAGUGGACGUUACUCGCAGAAUAAGCACCGGCUAACUCUGUGCCAGCCGCCGCUUAA
rnacentral:rRNA from 1 species